GGAUGUGAGGGCGAUCUGGCUGCGACAUCUGUCACCCCAUUGAUCACCAGGGUUGAUUCGGCUGAUCUGGCUGGCUAGGCGGGGGGUCCCCUUCCUCCCUCACUGCUCUACGUGCAUCCCUCCCAAAGCUGCGCGCUCGGUCGAAGAGGACGGCCUUCCCAAAAUAGAGACGGACCGGUCUUUGGUCAAGGGUAUACGAGUAGCUGCGCUCCCCUGCUAGAACCUCCCCAAACAAGCUCUCGAGAACUGUAGAAAUAUCUAUUAAAUAUUGCAUACUCGCAAGGACCGACUUAAGGAUCCUGGUUCGAGC
rnacentral:sRNA from 1 species